UAUCAGCAGUCCUCUCUAGGUUUGUUCUGAGACAGCAUCUCACUAAGUUGCCCGGCCGACUAGAACACAUUCUGCAGCUCAGGCGAGCCUUGAACUUCCUGAUCUUUCUUCAGCAGCAUCCCAAGCCGGAGCUGUGAAGAUUAAUUACUUUUAGCAUAGGUACAUGCUUAAUUUGGUAAAAAUAACAAGUUAUAUGACUCCUAAACAUGGAUUGAUGUUAAACUUCAUGAGGUUAAGAGGCCUCCAGCACAGUUUAAAAGGAACCCUGAGUGCAGACAUUAUCCUGAUUCUCAUAUUCUGAAUGCUAACACAGUUAUGCUUUCAUACCCAGAGAAUGACAGCUCGUAAAGCAUCUUGUUUUUUUAACCAAUAUUCUUUUCAGACUGAAAAAAACCUAAAGUUUAGCACUUGCUGGUGAGGAGAAAGUCAGCAAAGCCUGGACAGAAGUGAGCCUCGUUAACACCAUAAAGCACACGGAGUAAAAUAGCCAGUGUCCUGUCUGCAUGCUGUGCUUUACACACCUUCCUCCAAGGUGAAGGAGAGCGCCAAGAUGUUUGCUCUUUCUUCUGCUUCUUGAUGGGGAAGUGGAGGUCCAACAGAAAAAUAAGACAAGAAAAAGUAAAAUACAUAAAAAAUGGAAAGCAAAGAAUAAAACUGUAUUUGCCAAUGGCAUGACUGUAUAUAUAGGAAACAUUAAGUAAUCUGUUUUAAGCCCAUUGGAAUCAUUAAGUGAGCUAAGCAGGACUUCAGGAAAGAAUGCCAUGGUGUUGACCAAGGUUUGAAGAUGACUCCCAGUGACCCUGGCUUUUUAAUUGUCUUCCUCCUCUGUGUGAUAAAACCUGUGACUAUGAUGGUGUACCCCAUGAUUAUGUAUAUUUCAUGGCAAUGGGAGUUUGUGCAUAUAAUUACAGUUAUUUUAAGGCAAUCAAAAUGCAGGCGAUGUUCAGAAAGCUGACCUAAACACAGGGGCUCUGUAAGUGUGCACUACAACCCAGAGAUAAAGAGAGUAGCUUAUUAAACACUACUCUGCUAAGAGAACAGUUUCUGGAUAUGCUUGGAUUUGUCUGAGACAAAUCUUUUAACAUUUUUUUGUGAUUCAGAUAGAAAUAAGAGUCUGGGGGCUGUGAUGGGGCUCUGGUCAUUUGGCAAUGUAUUUGAUAUACCAAUUUCUAUCCUAACAAAAUUCAACUCCUACUGCACAGGAGCUCUGUUUAGCUUAUUAGCACAAACAUAGAUCUGCUACGUGUCAUGCAAGUGGUAUGGCUCAGAGUGCCAGUUUGCUAAAGGUCAUUCACAUAGUCCUGCUAACCUUGCAAAGAAACUUAAAGCUGAUUGGGUGAGCCAGGUAUUAUUGCACAUACCUAUAAUUCUUGCACUUGAGGGUAGAAGCACAAUAAUCAGAAAUUCAGGGUCAACCCCAGCUACAUAGUAAGUUUGAGGCCAUUGUGGGCUACAUAAAACUCUGUCUUAAAAGUAGACAAACAAAAUAUAGGCUAAUUGCUCUAUACCCUACCCAGCUAUUUCCCUUUCACAUUUUUUUCAUCUUUCAGCUAGCAAGCCAACUCCAUCUGGCUCUCUUAUCCGGCAUAAAAUACUUUGCUUUUUAUACUCCUUUUUUUCUCUCUCUCUAAUUUUUUUUCUCUCAAAGAACAUUGGCUUUGCAGGAUCUCUGUGUCCCAGCCAUUCAAGAGCUGGAAAUAUUCUACAUGCUUUGAUUGUAACCCCCUCCCCUUUUUAAGACUUAUUUUUAUUUUCUGUGUAUCAAUAUUUUGCUUGUGUAUAUAUUUGUGUAUCACAUGCAUGUCUGCCUAGUGUCUAAGGAGGCCAGAAGAAAGUGUUGAGAGUCCUGGAAUUGGAGUUACAGAUGGUUGUGAGAUUACAUGUAGGUGCUAGGAAUCAAAUCCAGGUUCAAGAGCAUCAAAUGCCAGUGAGCCAGCCAUCUCUCCAGCCUCUUCAUUGUAAACAAACACUCUAUUCCUGUAUUUUCAUGGGUCUACCUUUUGACUGUCUUUCAGUCAAAUUCCAAUUGUUCUUGGUGCACUGAUCACUAGUUUAGCAGAGGAAAACUACAUCUCUUGUCUAUAGCUUACCCUG
rnacentral:lncRNA from 1 species